GAUGAACGCUGGCGGCGUGCCUAAUACAUGCAAGUCGAGCGAACAGAUGAGGAGCUUGCUCCUCUGACGUUAGCGGCGGACGGGUGAGUAACACGUGGAUAACCUACCUAUAAGACUGGGAUAACUUCGGGAAACCGGAGCUAAUACCGGAUAAUAUAUUGAACCGCAUGGUUCAAUAGUGAAAGACGGUUUUGCUGUCACUUAUAGAUGGAUCCGCGCCGCAUUAGCUAGUUGGUAAGGUAACGGCUUACCAAGGCAACGAUGCGUAGCCGACCUGAGAGGGUGAUCGGCCACACUGGAACUGAGACACGGUCCAGACUCCUACGGGAGGCAGCAGUAGGGAAUCUUCCGCAAAGGGCGAAAGCCUGGCGGAGCAACGCCGCGUGAGUGAUGAAGGUCUUCGGAUCGUAAGACUCUGUUAUUAGGGAAGAACAAAUGUGUAAGUAACUAUGCACGUCUUGACGGUACCUAAUCAGAAAGCCACGGCUAACUACGUG
rnacentral:rRNA from 1 species